rnacentral:rRNA from 1 species
UACGUAGGUGGCAAGCGUUAUCCGGAUUUAUUGGGCGUAAAGGGAACGCAGGCGGUCUUUUAAGUCUGAUGUGAAAGCCUUCGGCUUAACCGGAAUAGUGCAUUGGAAACUGGGAGACUUGAGUGCAGAAGAGGAGAGUGGAACUCCAUGUGUAGCGGUGAAAUGCGUAGAUAUUAGGAGGAACACCAGUGGCGAAGGCGGCCUGCUGGGCUUUUACUGACGCUGAGGCUCGAAAGUGUGGGGAGCAAACAGG